rnacentral:rRNA from 1 species
UACGUAGGGGGCUAGCGUUGUCCGGAUUUAUUGGGCGUAAAGAGCGUGUAGGCGGCCAGGUAGGUCUGCUGUGAAAACUCGAGGCUCAACCUCGAGACGUCGGCGGAAACCAUCUGGCUAGAGUCCGGAAGAGGAGAGUGGAAUUCCUGGUGUAGCGGUGAAAUGCGCAGAUAUCGGGAAGAACACCCGUGGCGAAGGCGGUUCUCUGGGACGGUACUGACGCUGAGACGCGAAAGCGUGGGGAGCGAACAGG